rnacentral:rRNA from 1 species
AGAGUUUGAUCAUGGCUCAGAACGAACGUUAGCGGCGCGCCUAAGACAUGCAAGUCGAGCGAGAAAGGGCUUCGGCCCCAGUAAAGCGGCGCACGGGUGAGUAACACGUAGGUAACCUACCCCUGGGUGGUGGAUAACCCUCCGAAAGGAGGGCUAACACAGCAUGACACCGAAAGGUCAAAGCGGGCCUCUUCAUGAAAGCUCGCGCCUGGGGAUGGGCCUGCGGCCCAUCAGCUAGUUGGCGGGGUAACAGCCCACCAAGGCAAAGACGGGUAGCUGGUCUGAGAGGAUGAACAGCCACACUGGAACUGAGACACGGUCCAGGCUCCUACGGGAGGCAGCAGUCGGGAAUCUUCCGCAAUGGGCGAAAGCCUGACGGAGCGACGCCGCGUGAGUGAUGAAGGCCUUCGGGUUGUAAAGCUCUGUGGAGAGAGAAGAAUAAGGGUGGGUUAAUAGCCUAUCUGAUGACGGUAUCUCUUUAGCAAGCACCGGCUAACUCUGUGCCAGCAGCCGCGGUAAUACAGAGGGUGCAAACGUUGUUCGGAUUUACUGGGCGUAAAGCGCGUGUAGGCGGCCUAGCAAGUCGGGUGUGAAAUCCUGCGGCUCAACCGUGGAAGUGCAUUCGAAACUGCUAGGCUGGAGUCCUGGAGAGGAAGAUGGAAUGCUUGGUGUAGAGGUGAAAUCNNAGAUAUCAAGCAGAACACCUGCGGCGAAGGCGGUCUUCUGGACAGUGACUGACGCUGAGACGCGAAAGCGUGGGGAGCAAACAGGAUUAGAUACCCUAGUAGUCC